rnacentral:rRNA from 1 species
UAACGGCGAGUGAAGCGGCAACAGCUCAAAUUUGAAAUCUGGUUCUCGUUGGGGAGCCCGAGUUGUAAUUUGCAGAGGGUGCUUCGGCGUGGGCCUUGGUCUAAGUCCUUUGGAACCAGGCGUCACAGAGGGUGACAACCCCGUACGUGGCCGACGGCCUCCGCCAUGUGAAGCCCCUUCGACGAGUCGAGUUGUUUGGGAAUGCAGCUCUAAAUGGGAGGUAUAUUUCUUCUAAAGCUAAAUACCGGCCAGAGACCGAUAGCGCACAAGUAGAGUGAUCGAAAGAUGAAAAGCACUUUGGAAAGAGAGUCAAAAAGCACGUGAAAUUGUUGAAAGGGAAGCGCUUGCAGCCAGACUUGCCGGCCGACGCUCAUCCUCCCGCUUCGGGGGGUGCACUCGUCGGCAGGCAGGCCAGCAUCAGUUCGGGCGGCCAGAGAAAGGCCUUGGGAAUGUAGCUCGCUUCGGGGAGUGUUAUAGCCCAAGGUGUCCUGUGGCCAGCCGGGACUGAGGUCCGCGCUUCGGCUAGGAUGCUGGCGUAAUGGCGGCAAGCGGCCCGUCUUGAAACACGGACCAAGGAGUCUAACAUCUAUGCGAGUGUUUGGGUGUCAAGCCCGGGCGCGGAAUGAAAGUGAACGGAGGUGGGAUCCCUUUUUGGGGGUGCACCAUCGACCGAUCCUGAUGUCUUCGGAUGGAUUUGAGUAAGAGCAUAGCUGUUGGGACCCGAAAGAUGGUGAACUAUGCCUGAAUAGGGUGAAGCCAGAGGAAACUCUGGUGGAGGCUCGCAGCGGUUCUGACGUGCAAAUCGAUCGUCAAAUUUGGGCAUAGGGGCGAAAGACUAAUCGAACCAUCUAGUAGCUGGUUCCUGCCGAAGUUUCCCUCAGGAUAGCAGUAACGUUUUCAGUUUUAUGAGGUAAAGCGAAUGAUUA